CGAACCCAGCUCAGGCGAGAACACCCACAAAGUUUAAGCAUAUAAUUAAGUGGACAAAAAUAUACUUAAAAGGAUUCACCUAGUUACGGCAAGAGAACCGGGAAGAGCCUAGCAUGAAAAUUGGGUGGCAGCGCCACCUGAAUUGUAUUCUAUAUAAGCGUCCUUAGCGGUGGACCAGGCCCAAGUCCCCUAGAAGGGGGAGCCUAAGAGGGUGAUAGCCCUGCCGGGUUGGGACCCUACCGCACCAUGAGGCGUUGUUGGUGAGUUGGGUUGUUUGGGAAUGUGCAAGAUACCAGAUCUAAUAAAUAUGCAGAAUAGAAAUAAAAUGCUAGGAAUGGCAGAAUAAUAGUAAUAUAACCAGCAUAAUCAUCCACAAUAACACAAAAAUAAUAUGAGAACAACAACUGAAAUAGCACUUUGAUUC
rnacentral:ncRNA from 1 species